GACGAACGCUGUCGGCGUGCUUAACACAUGCAAGUCGAACGGAAAGGCCCUGCUUUUGUGGGGUGCUCGAGUGGCGAACGGGUGAGUAACACGUGAGUAACCUGCCCUUGACUUUGGGAUAACUUCAGGAAACUGGGGCUAAUACCGGAUAGGAGCUCCUGCUGCAUGGUGGGGGUUGGAAAGUUUCGGCGGUUGGGGAUGGACUCGCGGCUUAUCAGCUUGUUGGUGGGGUAGUGGCUUACCAAGGCUUUGACGGGUAGCCGGCCUGAGAGGGUGACCGGCCACAUUGGGACUGAGAUACGGCCCAGACUCCUACGGGAGGCAGCAGUGGGGAAUAUUGCACAAUGGGCGGAAGCCUGAUGCAGCAACGCCGCGUGCGGGAUGACGGCCUUCGGGUUGUAAACCGCUUUCGCCUGUGACGAAGCGUGAGUGACGGUAAUGGGUAAAGAAGCACCGGCUAACUACGUGCCAGCAGCCGCGGUGAUACGUAGGGUGCGAGCGUUGCCCGGAUUUAUUGGGCGUAAAGGGCUCGUAGGUGGUUGAUCGCGUCGGAAGUGUAAUCUUGGGGCUUAACCCUGAGCGUGCUUUCGAUACGGGUUGACUUGAGGAAGGUAGGGGAGAAUGGAAUUCCUGGUGGAGCGGUGGAAUGCGCAGAUAUCAGGAGGAACACCAGUGGCGAAGGCGGUUCUCUGGGCCUUUCCUGACGCUGAGGAGCGAAAGCGUGGGGAGCGAACAGGCUUAGAUACCCUGGUAGUCCACGCUGUAAACGGUGGGUACUAGGUGUGGGGUCCAUUCCACGGGUUCCGUGCCGUAGCUAACGCUUUAAGUACCCCGCCUGGGGAGUACGGCCGCAAGGCUAAAACUCAAAGGAAUUGACGGGGCCUCGCACAAGCGGCGGAGCAUGCGGAUUAAUUCGAUGCAACGCGUAGAACCUUACCUGGGUUUGACAUGGAUCGGGAGUGCUCAGAGAUGGGUGUGCCUCUUUUGGGGUCGGUUCACAGGUGGUGCAUGCCUGUCGUCAGCUCGUGUCGUGAGAUGUUGGGUUAGGUCCCGCAACGAGCGCAACCCUUGUUCACUGUUGCCAGCACGUUAUGGUGGGGACUCAGUGGAGACCGCCGGGGUCAACUCGGAGGAAGGUGGGGAUGACGUCAAGUCCUCAUGCCCCUUAUGUCCAGGGCUUCACGCAUGCUACAAUGGCUGGUACAGAGAGUGGCGAGCCUGUGAGGGUGAGCGAAUCUCGGAAAGCCGGUCUCAGUUCGGAUUGGGGUCUGCAACUCGACCUCAUGAAGUCGGAGUCGCUAGUAAUCGCAGAUCAGCAACGCUGCGGUGAGUACGUUCCCGGGGCU
rnacentral:rRNA from 1 species